UGGGGAAUUUUCCGCAAUGGGGGCAACCCUGACGGAGCAACGCCGCGUGCGGGAGGACGGCCCUAGGGUUGUAAACCGCUUUUCUCAGGGAAGAAGUUCUGACGGUACCUGAGGAAUAAGCCUCGGCUAACUCCGUGCCAGCAGCCGCGGUAAGACGGAGGAGGCAAGCGUUAUCCGGAAUUAUUGGGCGUAAAGCGUCCGUAGGUGGUGCCUCAAGUCUGCUGUCAAAGACCGAAGCUCAACUUCGGGCAGGCAGUGGAAACUGAAGCACUAGAGUACGGUAGGGGUAGAGGGAAUUUCCAGUGUAGCGGUGAAAUGCGUAGAGAUUGGAAAGAACACCAGUGGCGAAGGCGCUCUACUGGACCGUAACUGACACUCAGGGACGAAAGCUAGGGGAGCGAAAGGGAUUAGAUACCCCCGUAGUCC
rnacentral:rRNA from 1 species